rnacentral:rRNA from 1 species
AUACGGAGGGUGCAAGCGUUGUUCGGAAUCACUGGGCGUAAAGGGCGCGCAGGCGGUUUGGUAAGUCAGAUGUGAAAGCCUCGGCUCAACCGUGGAAGUGCAUUUGAAACUGUCAGACUUGAGUACUAGAGGGGAAAGUGGAAUUCCCGGUGUAGAGGUGAAAUUCGUAGAUAUCGGGAGGAAUACCGGUGGCGAAGGCGACUUUCUGGCUAGAUACUGACGCUGAGGCGCGAAAGCGUGGGGAACAAACAGGAUUAGAAACCCCGGUAGUCC